ensembl:lncRNA
GAGACAGUGAGGCAAAAUGACUUAGUUGGGCUUAUAGAAAUGUUGAAAGAAAUGUAGUGCUUUCAAUUGAUACAUGAUACAAAAAAGUAUGUUUUAUGCUCAUGUGACGUUCUGAGUGAAAAUGGAGCCAAGUACAAAUACUACAGCCCAUUAUCUCCUGAGGGUGACCUCAACAGUGACAUCAACUCAUGCCCAUUACGUCAAAAAAAAAAAAAAAAAAAUCUUUACAUACCCACACACAAACACACACUGGGCUUCACAUAUUUGAGCGCGAGACAUAAACUUUCAUGCAUACAUGCUAUAACGCAUUUGCAUUGAGACAAACAGUUAGCAUAAUUUGUUCAUCUGCUAUUUCUGUUUAUUUUCUCUCCAGACUAUUUGAGACCCACGGUUUGCCUCAGGCUAAACUAGAAUUCCUAACCCCAACGGAAGAAUAUUUUCCCCCUGCACCUGAAGAGAGCUUUCCCCCUGCACUUGAGGAGAGUUUCCCCCCUGUGCCUGAGGAGAGUUUUCCCCCUUUGCCUGAGGAGAGUUUUCCCCCGGCUCCUGAGGAGAGUUUUCCCCCUUUGCCUGAGGAGAGUGUUCCCCCUUUGCCUGAGGAGAGUUUUCCCCCGGCUCCUGAGGAGAGUUUUCCCCCUUUGCCUGAGGAGAGUGUUCCCCCUUUGCCUGAGGAGAGUUUUCCCCCGGCUCCUGAGGAGAGUUUUCCCCCGGCUCCUGAGGAGAGUUUUCCCCCUUCGCCUGAGGAGAGUUUUCCCCCGGCUCCUGAAGAGAGUUUUCCCCCUUCGUCUGAGGAGAGUUUUCCCCCGGCUCCUGAAGAGAGUUUUCCUCCUGUACCUGAGGAGAGUUUUACCCCUGUUACUAAGCAGCCAGAAGAACCACAAGAGUGCAGGUCUCCUCUGGUAGAAGCUGCUGAGAGCGGUGAGCCUUUCCCUUCUCCCUUAUCACCCCUACCACAGCACGACACUGCUCCUGCCCUCCCUGCCCACCUGCUCCAGGACACAGUCGAGUUCCCCACACCGCCCCCUACCCCUCCGGACAGGGCUCCCCCUGAGCCUCAGACCCUUCCUCCUGCUCCUGCUCCUGCUGGUCUACCGGAGGCUUCCCCUGCUGCCUCUGUGCCUCCUCAAAUCCAACAGCUACAGCACUCUGAGCCUUCAGCAAGGUAG